rnacentral:snoRNA from 1 species
AAACCUGACCAAAACAUUCAAAAUGCCUGAAUAUGUUUCUGUGGGAAUUUAGGAAAAGCUGGCAAAUGUCCUGCCACGUUAGGAGCCUUAAGGUAAACUGAGACAUAUGACUCUCAAAAAUGGAUCCAGUA